AGCCCCCAAGGCUGUGGGUAUGAGGCCGGGGCCCUGCACCGGAAGGGAGGGCGGAAGCCACGGGACGUGGAGCAGAUGGUGAGGAUAGUGGGGAGGUAGCAGCAGAGGAUGACCCGAGGCAAAAGUGCAAGUGAAGAAAAGUCGCCUUGCCGGGCAGAGGUACGGGACCAAGGCGCCUCCUCUGGGCUGAGGAGUUAGAGGGAAGAAAAUGGCGCCCUGUCAUGAGGGCGCGAGGUCCGAGUUGAGGGGAGAAGACUGAGGGACACAGAAGUGGCCGAAGUGAGGGCGCUGAGGUCAGCCUGAGCUGAGAGGGCCGGCAGAUCACGCCGCAGCCGAAGUGAACGAACUCGAGUGAGGAAAUUACUCCAGGAUUUGAAUCAUCACAAGAGAUUCACCAGAGGAUUUUAUACACUUGGGCUGUGGCAGCAGACUAAUUACAUCACAGCACUAGAGACGGGGUUUCACCAUAUUGGCUAGGCUAGUCU
rnacentral:lncRNA from 1 species